GACUUUUUGCUCUUCCGCUUUUUGCCACCGCCCCCAACCUUCUAUAUCCUUGCAGCCCCUACCUUUUCUUGUGUUGCUCCUCCCCUGGCAGCCUUGCGGGGGGUUAGAUCUCAGCCGGAGCCGGAGCUGGGCCUAGCUGUCCCACGGGCCACCACUACCUCCUUUGGUUCGGGAGAAAGCUACGACCAAGACCAAAAGAGGAAGAUAGUCUUGGGACCCUUGCAUGGUGUUUCAAAGGGUGGUGAAGAACUAAGGUAGAAGAAUACAUGUUCACUUCCAGUGAACAAGAGCAUGUUCCCAAACUCAAUUUUGGGUCGCCCACCCUUCACUCCAAAUCAUCAACAACAUAAUAACUUCUUUACCCUGUCACCUACUGUUUAUUCACACCAGCAGCUUAUAGAUGCACAAUUCAACUUUCAGAAUGCAGACUUGUCUAGAGCUGUGUCAUUACAGCAGCUGACAUAUGGAAAUGUCAGUCCAAUACAGACCUCAGCUUCCCCAUUAUUUCGAGGAAGGAAGAGAUUAAGCGAUGAAAAAAACCUUCCUCUUGACGGUAAACGGCAACGUUUCCAUUCA
rnacentral:sRNA from 1 species